AUUGAACGCUGGCGGCAUGCCUUACACAUGCAAGUCGAACGGCAGCACGGGGGCAACCCUGGUGGCGAGUGGCGAACGGGUGAGUAAUACAUCGGAACGUGCCCAGUCGUGGGGGAUGACGUAGCGAAAGUUACGCUAAUACCGCAUACGAUCUCUGGAUGAAAGCGGGGGACCGCAAGGCCUCGCGCGAUUGGAGCGGCCGAUGGCAGAUUAGGUAGUUGGUGGGGUAAAAGCUUACCAAGCCUCCGAUCUGUAGCUGGUCUGAGAGGACGAUCAGCCACACUGGGACUGAGACACGGCCCAGACUCCUACGGGAGGCAGCAGUGGGGAAUUUUGGACAAUGGGCGCAAGCCUGAUCCAGCAAUGCCGCGUGCAGGACGAAGGCCUUCGGGUUGUAAACUGCUUUUGUACGGAGCGAAACGGCUUCCACUAAUACUGGGGGCUAAUGACGGUACCGUAAGAAUAAGCACCGGCUAACUACGUGCCAGCCGCCGCAGUAA
rnacentral:rRNA from 1 species